GAUGAACGCUAGCUACAGGCUUAACACAUGCAAGUCGAGGGGAAACGACAUCGAAAGCUUGCUUUUGAUGGGCGUCGACCGGCGCACGGGUGAGUAACGCGUAUCCAACCUGCCCAUCACUUGGGGAUAACCUUGCGAAAGUAAGACUAAUACCCAAUGACGUCUCUAGAAGACAUCUGAAAGAGAUUAAAGAUUUAUCGGUGAUGGAUGGGGAUGCGUCUGAUUAGCUUGUUGGCGGGGUAACGGCCCACCAAGGCGACGAUCAGUAGGGGUUCUGAGAGGAAGGUCCCCCACAUUGGUACUGAGACACGGGCCAAACUCCUACGGGAGGCAGCAGUGAGGAAUAUUGGUCAAUGGACGGGAGUCUGAACCAGCCAAGUCGCGUGAGGGAUGAAGGUCCUACGGAUUGUAAACCUCUUUUGCCGGGGAGUAACGUGCGGGACGCGUCCCGUAUUGAGAGUACCCGAAGAAAAGCAUCGGCUAACUCCGUG
rnacentral:rRNA from 1 species